GACCAGAGUAGGCGUGGGUGUUCAGAUCUGUGUGGAUCAGCCCCAGCCUGACAGUAGCAGGGGUUUUACUUGUAGCAACAGAUAAAUCUAUCACUAACUUCCCAAGAUGAUGAAAAGCAAAACACUUUUCUAGUGAACUAGAGAAUACUGGGAAGUUUCCAUAACGCAGAACUAAAUAUGAUCAAAUUAAAAGAUAGAUGAAACAAGAGGAUCUACUUUCUAGUAACAAGGAAAAGAUUUCAGAUCUUUAUUUAAACUGGUUUACUGAACAGAGAUUUUUUAGAAUCAGAAGAACAUUGAGGCAGGAAGGGACCUCAGAAGAGUGUCCAGCCCCAUCCUCCUGUUCAAAUUAGUAUGCUCAGGACUGUGUCCAGGGCUGUAAUCAUUGAUGCCAAAGGAAUGGAUCAGAGCUGAACGAUACCACUAGAAGUUUCCCACUUCUGCAGUCAGGGGUGUUAUAUAGGCCUGGCUAACAUCAAGACUACACAUUUGUUGUGCACAUUAAUAGGAAAUGUCAAAUAAUAACAAUGAAAUAAAAUUCAAAACUUAACUGCAUAUAUAUGGGUUAUUUUGAAUAUCAUUAAUUCUAUGCAAGUACUUCUAAAGCAUUCUUUUAGAAAUGGUGCAGCUGAUAGAUCUGUUACUGUUUAAUUAUCAGACAAAUUAAAUUACUUAAUCCAGUUAAAGACAAGAGAUAACCAACAGAUGCAUCUCUUUUAAAAAGAGACUUUUAAACAUAAGCAUACUUCUGAAAUACAUUGUAUUAAAAAUAUAAGGGAAACAAUCUAAUAUGUUCUAUGAUGUCUCAGAAAAGAAGAGAGAAAACAUAGCAUUUUUAUUUCUUUCAAUAAUCAAACAUCCAGCAGGUUCCAACAUGAUUAAAAUAGUAGUCCUGAAGGUUUUUAUCCUCUGUUUCACAUAUGCAUAAAAAAAGGACGAGGCAGUGUGUAAAAGUUCAUUAGUCUAAACACAACUCUUCAGGUAUUAUCAUAUUCACACUCUGUUUUCCUCCCCUUCCCUUUAAAAUAAAAAUAAAAAUAUUAAAUAAAAUCCUCCCCUACCCUUUAAAUAAAUAAAUAAAUAAGUAAAAUGUUUCUGAGAAAAUUAUCAAAUCCUGGCCAGCUAACACUAGCUCUUAAUUCAACUGUGUUUUCUGGGAAUAUAUUUGUUCUUCAGUCAUUUCUGUAUUCUGGUUGUGGAUUGCAUGGAUAUAUCUAAUUUAGCCUUAAAUUGGUCCUAAAUUAUUUAUUUUUCAUUUAAAAUAAAUAAAUAAAUAAAUAAAUAAAUAAUUCCAACAAAUGAAAUGCCAAGCUGCAGCAGGGCUGUCAGCAUUCCAAGGUACAAGGUCUGGAGCCUUGGCCUAGACCGAAGGGCGCAGGGUCAGGGAGUAAACCACACUCAAGUUUUAAACACUCACAAAGUUUGACAGUUUGGCUCAGCAAUGCUUCUCAUUUCAAUAUUGAAAUAUUUCUGAAUCUCUUGGAGUUUGGAACAGACUCUAGGAGUGUUAAUUGCUUUGGGGUUUUGAUUUGCAGUUUUGUUUCAGGAUGCAAUGGGUUUGAGUAGAGUUUUGAGGUAGGGGCUAAUGAAACCCCCCAAACUGCACAAAAUCUUACAUGUCUUAAGAAACAUUAAAGAUAUUUGGAGGUAAUCUGCUAUUCUGGGUCAUCUUUUCUUGCUGGGAAACAGAAUAAAUGGGAAACAAUAUAGAGAAAAACCCAGUAGACAUACUGAGUUCUAGAUUAUUUCCAUUUGUUCCUCUCUAGCUGUAUAAAAACAACAUUUCAAUCACCAUGCAUUUGGACCUCAGAUUUCAAAAUGGCCAUUCCUCAUGUACGUUUGUUAUGAAUAUCCCCAAACUAGAUGUACAUAUGCAUAUUCAAGCAAAUAGAUCACAAACUUUAUUCAGUCAAACCCCAAGCUGUAUUUAUGAGGUGUUCUGAAAUACUUGACUCUCCAGUUGUGGUACUGGAAAUGGUCAAAGUGCCAAUGCCACUACACAUGAUGUAGUCCCCUAACAUAGGAAUAAGUGGUGCCCACAGGUUUUCUGUGUCAAUUGCAGGACUUGGACCAAUAUUUUUGUUGAAUUUGGUCCUUUUUCACAUUAUUUUUCAAGGCUAUAAUAUUUUUUUGGCUAAAUUACGUUAACCAACAGUAUUUGUGGUUUGAAGAAAAAAGCUUAUCGUUCCUUAAUGAGAGGGAAUUGCUAGCUACAGGUUUUACUUUUUGACUGCCAAAACGUAAUCCAAAACUAACUGUGUGAUUUAUGAAGAAAGCCUUGCUUGCUGGUUCUUUUUCAGGUCAGCCCUUGACCGUCUGAACAAGAACCUCUAAAGCAGUGAAACAUUAGAAAUUAUUUACUUAUUCUACUUUUUUUUUUUUUUUUUUUUUUUUGUGAUACAGUUAUUCUAAAAUCCCAGCAAGCCAAACAUCUUUAAACUUAAUUUGUACAAAUAAUAGAUUCAUUUAGUUUGUGUUAAAGUUAGCUGACUCUUAUUCCAGAAAUACUAUCCAGUUAUGGCCAGCCUGGAAUGCCUAUCCUUUUAAUAGAAGCCAUAAAGACUAGGCACUGAAUAUUUAGCUGCAUUUUUUUUUUCUUUUUCAGAAGAGAACACAUUUGCUUUGAUUUAUUAAUGUAUAAUCCUCUUUUACAUGGCCAAAAGUGAAGCCAUUAACAUAACAGAUCACUCUUUAAGUUAAUAAAUGCUGUCUUUAAUGUAUUUCUCUCUCGUGUGCAUCUAGGCAUACAGUUAAAGAAUACAGACAUACAUUUGGUGAUGAACCAAUCCCUUCCUGACCCUUAAAAUGACCUCAUGACCAAUUAACAGGGAAGUCACGGUGAAGCCAUUUUUAAAAGAACAUUCUAAAAUCUGUAAGACAUGAACAUUGACCUGUUAUAAUAUUGCCAAGUGAGCUAUCAGUCACUUUCAAGGAUUUUGUUUUGUAUUUUUCAUAAUGUCAUUACAAGCAUUUUAUUUUGUUUUAUUUUAUUUUAAAGCAUCAUGCCAUUGAUUGCAAAUUUACCAGUCUUUUAAUUUUUUUUAUUAAUAUUCUGUUAUAUCUGUGUUGACUGUAUAUUUUAUCACCUAUGGAUUAAAAUUGAUUAAAUUCCUACAGAUAUUCUGGGAAACAUAUUGUCAGGAGUCUGAAAUGCCUGUAGAAGAUAGUACGACUCAGACAGACAUCACUGUCAAAACACAACUUUUCAAGUGUAUUCUUCACUGCAGUAUUGCCCCAUAGUCAGCUUUCAGCUUAGAAGGAAUAUCAUAGACCCGUACUGAUUUAUAUUAAACAAAAUUUGGUCCAGAACCAUCUAGCUGAAGUCACAUUUCAUAGAAAUGUCUUCCUUCUUCCUUCUUCCUUCUAAUUAUAUUCAUUGCAAUAUAAUUAUUGGCUGCAAUAAGAACUGUUUCAGCUUGGAGCUCUGAAGUACAAUAUUGCAGAGUAAAAUAUUCUUAAUUUACAAUGAGAAAGAAUACAGUAAUGCAGAAGAACGCACACAAAAUAUUUUCCAGAUAUAUCUCUCAAUGACUCUGCUACAGAAUUCCUCCUGGGCAAAUGAUUCAGUCUUUCUUUGCAUCAGCUUUCUACCUGAAAAAUGGGAAUAGCAAUAUUUUCCAAAUGCCUUCUUCAAAUAUUGUCUGAUUAAAAUAUUAGCUGUACUGUGCAGCAACAAUAAUUACAUUUUCCUCCAUAACCACUUCCCAAUUCAGCCAAAAGACUCAUAGAAAUAAGCCAAACACAAACUUUGGGUCUAAAUAUAUAGCUUUUUCUUACUUUUGAAGCUUUCAUGGAAAGAAGGAUUCCACUCACUUUUGGAAUUCUUUUUCAGAAGAUAAUUAAUGAGCAAUUAUAAUUAGAAAAAAAAAAAAAAAAAAACACAUUUACAAGAUUCACAGGGGCAGAAAAUGGGGGGGAGAGAACUGUCUGAUAGGUUCUGGACUUGUCUGUGAAAAACAGGAAGACACAGGUGUCUGUCCAUUCACUUUACUAAUUAGUUACUUUCACUUUUUCUAGACAAAGAGCAGUGAAGGAAUAAACCUACAUCUGUUCUUUAUGCAUAGACAGAAACAGGGCAGAAUAUAUGGGAACGAUAUGUUAGCUUGAACAUUAAUCUGCCAUAUUUAUAAAACUAUUGCCUUCCCUAACACAGAAGGCAUUGCUUUAAUACACUACCUUGAGCAGAUUUUCUUCAUUUAACUCUUCAUAAUGUAGUAUUUGAGGGUACUGUUGCAAACUCUUCAUAUCUACAAACAACUAAAGCUCUUUGUUUUGUAUGCUAUUUGUCUGUUCCUCUGAUGUGCUGUAAUGCAUCAAUCUAUCUACAAAAUUAAAUAAUGCUUUUUUCAUAAAAUCUUGAAUGCUUUAAUACUAACCUUCUGAGAUUAUUCUUCCAACUAUGUCUCAUUGAAGUUAUUUCCUCUACACGUCAAUUCAUAUUUCAGACCAACAGAGUUUUACUGACAGACCAAUCUGACUGGGGCAUUUGCCAUUCCUCUAGGUAACGUCUGUGCAUAAAUGAAGUUAUUCACUUUUCCAUAAUUAUUCCUCUACUGCAAGAAAGAACACUGGAGACAAAAAUUUGAAGGCAUGGCUAAUAAGAAGGAGAAGCUUCAUAAGGAUUGUCACUGCUCACCAUGGCUUUCCUUCUGCCCACAAAUAGGACUACUAAAUGGGUGGUGCCUGUGAAGCUAUGACUGCUAUUAGACACCUGUCCACCACAAUACACAACCUUUGCCUUCCUCACAGGAGAGUGGAAAUACCCCUGGUUUCAGCUCUUCGGCUCAGGAGAGAAAGCACUUUGUGGGUGGCAUUAUCACUGACCUGGUUACUCAGCUAGACACGCCCAGAAAAAUCCACUAAAUCCUUUCCUUAACAGAGAAUAACAAGUGUAUUUCAGCACCGUCAUGCCAUAAAUAUUUGUGGGAACCAAACAUUCUUUUUCUUUAAUGACCAGUGAAGCUGAAGCUGAGUGUAUGAAUAAUCUUUUCAGUGAUCAAAUACUUUUAGUUGCAGUUCAGGAGAUGCUUACUUGAAAUAAAAUAUUAGGAUGCUCUUUAAUAUAAUGUUUAUGUCACUUAAAUUCCACUGAAAUCUAUAAAAUUAUUCAUAAUUUAUAUAUGUAUAAACAACUUUAAAACAGAUCCAAAUCUUAGACUCCUGUCAGGCCCAUUCUUUUAUUUUUUUUUUCCUUCUUUUUUGGAUGUGUGUCUAUUAAAUGACUCUCUGUUAUG